UGGGGAAUCUUCCGCAAUGGACGAAAGUCUGACGGAGCAACGCCGCGUGAGUGAUGACGGCCUUCGGGUUGUAAAGCUCUGUUAAUCGGGACGAAUGGUUCUUGUGCAAAUAGUGCGAGGAUUUGACGGUACCGGAAUAGAAAGCCACGGCUAACUACGUGCCAGCAGCCGCGGUAAUACGUAGGUGGCAAGCGUUGUCCGGAAUUAUUGGGCGUAAAGCGCGCGCAGGCGGAUUGGUCAGUCUGUCUUAAAAGUUCGGGGCUUAACCCCGUGAUGGGAUGGAAACUGCCAAUCUAGAGUAUCGGAGAGGAAAGUGGAAUUCCUAGUGUAGCGGUGAAAUGCGUAGAUAUUAGGAAGAACACCAGUGGCGAAGGCGACUUUCUGGACGAAAACUGACGCUGAGGCGCGAAAGCCAGGGGAGCGAACGGGAUUAGAUACCCCGGUAGUCCUGGCCGUAAACGAUGGGUACUAGGUGUAGGAGGUAUCGGCCCCUUCUGUGCCGGAGUUAACGCAAUAAGUACCCCGCCUGGGGAGUACGACCGCAAGGUUG
rnacentral:rRNA from 1 species